rnacentral:rRNA from 1 species
UUAAGCGACUAAGCGUACACGGUGGAUGCCCUGGCAGUCGGAGGCGAUGAAGGACGUGCUAAUCUGCGAUAAGCGUCGGUAAGGUGAUAUGAACCGUUAUAACCGGCGAUUUCCGAAUGGGGAAACCCAGUGUGAUUCGUCACACUAUCAUUAACUGAAUCCAUAGGUUAAUGAGGCGAACCGGGGGAACUGAAACAUCUAAGUACCCCGAGGAAAAGAAAUCAACCGAGAUUCCCCCAGUAGCGGCGAGCGAACGGGGAGCAGCCCAGAGCCUGAAUCAGUGUGUGUGUUAGUGGAAGCGUCCGGAAAGGCGUGCGAUACAGGGUGACAGCCCCGUACACAAAAAUGCACAUACUGUGAGCUCGAUGAGUAGGGCGGGACACGUGGUAUCCUGUCUGAAUAUGGGGGGACCAUCCUCCAAGGCUAAAUACUCCUGACUGACCGAUAGUGAACCAGUACCGUGAGGGAAAGGCGAAAAGAACCCCGGCGAGGGGAGUGAAAAAGAACCUGAAACCGUGUACGUACAAGCAGUGGGAGCACGCUUAGGCGUGUGACUGCGUACCUUUUGUAUAAUGGGUCAGCGACUUAUAUUCUGUAGCAAGGUUAACCGAAUAGGGGAGCCGAAGGGAAACCGAGUCUUAACUGGGCGUUAAGUUGCAGGGUAUAGACCCGAAACCCGGUGAUCUAGCCAUGGGCAGGUUGAAGGUUGGGUAACACUAACUGGAGGACCGAACCGACUAAUGUUGAAAAAUUAGCGGAUGACUUGUGGCUGGGGGUGAAAGGCCAAUCAAACCGGGAGAUAGCUGGUUCUCCCCGAAAGCUAUUUAGGUAGCGCCUCGUGAAUUCAUCUCCGGGGGUAGAGCACUGUUUCGGCAAGGGGGUCAUCCCGACUUACCAACCCGAUGCAAACUGCGAAUACCGGAGAAUGUUAUCACGGGAGACACACGGCGGGUGCUAACGUCCGUCGUGAAGAGGGAAACAACCCAGACCGCCAGCUAAGGUCCCAAAGUCAUGGUUAAGUGGGAAACGAUGUGGGAAGGCCCAGACAGCCAGGAUGUUGGCUUAGAAGCAGCCAUCAUUUAAAGAAAGCGUAAUAGCUCACUGGUCGAGUCGGCCUGCGCGGAAGAUGUAACGGGGCUAAACCAUGCACCGAAGCUGCGGCAGCGACGCUUAUGCGUUGUUGGGUAGGGGAGCGUUCUGUAAGCCUGUGAAGGUGUGCUGUGAGGUAUGCUGGAGGUAUCAGAAGUGCGAAUGCUGACAUAAGUAACGAUAAAGCGGGUGAAAAGCCCGCUCGCCGGAAGACCAAGGGUUCCUGUCCAACGUUAAUCGGGGCAGGGUGAGUCGACCCCUAAGGCGAGGCCGAAAGGCGUAGUCGAUGGGAAACAGGUUAAUAUUCCUGUACUUGGUGUUACUGCGAAGGGGGGACGGAGAAGGCUAUGUUAGCCGGGCGACGGUUGUCCCGGUUUAAGCGUGUAGGCUGGUUUUCCAGGCAAAUCCGGAAAAUCAAGGCCGAGGCGUGAUGACGAGGCACUACGGUGCUGAAGCAACAAAUGCCCUGCUUCCAGGAAAAGCCUCUAAGCAUCAGGUAACAUCAAAUCGUACCCCAAACCGACACAGGUGGUCAGGUAGAGAAUACCAAGGCGCUUGAGAGAACUCGGGUGAAGGAACUAGGCAAAAUGGUGCCGUAACUUCGGGAGAAGGCACGCUGAUACGUAGGUGAAGCGACUUGCUCGUGGAGCUGAAAUCAGUCGAAGAUACCAGCUGGCUGCAACUGUUUAUUAAAAACACAGCACUGUGCAAACACGAAAGUGGACGUAUACGGUGUGACGCCUGCCCGGUGCCGGAAGGUUAAUUGAUGGGGUUAGCGCAAGCGAAGCUCUUGAUCGAAGCCCCGGUAAACGGCGGCCGUAACUAUAACGGUCCUAAGGUAGCGAAAUUCCUUGUCGGGUAAGUUCCGACCUGCACGAAUGGCGUAAUGAUGGCCAGGCUGUCUCCACCCGAGACUCAGUGAAAUUGAACUCGCUGUGAAGAUGCAGUGUACCCGCGGCAAGACGGAAAGACCCCGUGAACCUUUACUAUAGCUUGACACUGAACAUUGAGCCUUGAUGUGUAGGAUAGGUGGGAGGCUUUGAAGUGUGGACGCCAGUCUGCAUGGAGCCGACCUUGAAAUACCACCCUUUAAUGUUUGAUGUUCUAACGUGGACCCGUGAUCCGGGUUGCGGACAGUGUCUGGUGGGUAGUUUGACUGGGGCGGUCUCCUCCUAAAGAGUAACGGAGGAGCACGAAGGUUGGCUAAUCCUGGUCGGACAUCAGGAGGUUAGUGCAAUGGCAUAAGCCAGCUUGACUGCGAGCGUGACGGCGCGAGCAGGUGCGAAAGCAGGUCAUAGUGAUCCGGUGGUUCUGAAUGGAAGGGCCAUCGCUCAACGGAUAAAAGGUACUCCGGGGAUAACAGGCUGAUACCGCCCAAGAGUUCAUAUCGACGGCGGUGUUUGGCACCUCGAUGUCGGCUCAUCACAUCCUGGGGCUGAAGUAGGUCCCAAGGGUAUGGCUGUUCGCCAUUUAAAGUGGUACGCGAGCUGGGUUUAGAACGUCGUGAGACAGUUCGGUCCCUAUCUGCCGUGGGCGCUGGAGAACUGAGGGGGGCUGCUCCUAGUACGAGAGGACCGGAGUGGACGCAUCACUGGUGUUCGGGUUGUCAUGCCAAUGGCACUGCCCGGUAGCUAAAUGCGGAAGAGAUAAGUGCUGAAAGCAUCUAAGCACGAAACUUGCCCCGAGAUGAGUUCUCCCUGACCCUUUAAGGGUCCUGAAGGAACGUUGAAGACGACGACGUUGAUAGGCCGGGUGUGUAAGCGCAGCGAUGCGUUGAGCUAACCGGUACUAAUGAACCGUGAGGCUUAACCUU